CAGCAGCCACGGUAAUACGGAGGGUGCAAGCGUUAAUCGGAAUUACUGGGCGUAAAGCGCACGCAGGCGGUCUGUCAAGUCAGAUGUGAAAUCCCCGGGCUUAACCUGGGAACUGCAUUUGAAACUGGCAGGCUAGAGUCUUGUAGAGGGGGGUAGAAUUCCAGGUGUAGCGGUGAAAUGCGUAGAGAUCUGGAGGAAUACCGGUGGCGAAGGCGGCCCCCUGGACAAAGACUGACGCUCAGGUGCGAAAGCGUGGGGAGCAAACAGGAUUAGAUACCCGUGUAGUCCCUGUCUCUUAUAC
rnacentral:rRNA from 1 species